rnacentral:rRNA from 1 species
AUAAUAAAGAUUUAUCGGUAUAAGAUGGGCAUGCGUAUCAUUAGCUAGUUGGUGUGGUAACGGCAUACCAAGGCGACGAUGAUUAGGGGUCCUGAGAGGGAGAUCCCCCACACUGGUACUGAGACACGGACCAGACUCCUACGGGAGGCAGCAGUGAGGAAUAUUGGUCAAUGGAGGCAACUCUGAACCAGCCAUGCCGCGUGCAGGAUGACGGUCCUAUGGAUUGUAAACUGCUUUUGUACAGGAAGAAACCUCUCUACGUGUAGGGACUUGACGGUACUGUAAGAAUAAGGAUCGGCUAACUCCGUGCCAGCAGCCGCGGUAAUACGGAGGAUCCAAGCGUUAUCCGGAUUUAUUGGGUUUAAAGGGAGCGUAGGUGGAAGCCUAAGUCAGUUGUGAAAGUUUGCGGCUCAACCGUAAAAUUGCAGUUGAUACUGGGUUUCUUGAGUACAGUAGAGGUGGGCGGAAUUCGUGGUGUAGCGGUGAAAUGCUUAGAUAUCACGAAGAACUCCAAUUGCGAAGGCAGCUCACUAGACUGCAACUGACACUGAUGCUCGAAAGUGUGGGUAUCAAACAGGAUUAGAUACCCUGGUAGUCCACACAGUAAACGAUGAAUACUCGCUGUUUGCGAUAUAC